rnacentral:rRNA from 1 species
CCUACGGGAGGCAGCAGUGGGGAAUAUUGCACAAUGGGGGAAACCCUGAUGCAGCGACGCCGCGUGAGUGAAGAAGGAUUUAGGUAUGUAAAGCUCUAUCAGCAGGGAAGAAAAUGACGGUACCUGAGUAAGAAGCCCCGGCUAACUACGUGCCAGCAGCCGCGGGAAUACGUGGGGGGCAAGCGUUAUCCGGAUUUACUGGGUGUAAAGGGAGCGUAGACGGGAGCACAAGUCUGGAGUGAAAUGCCUGGGCUUAACCCCGGAACUGCGUUUGAAACUGUGCAGCUAGAGUGCAGGAGAGGUAAGUGGAAUGCGUGGUGUAGCGGUGAAAUGCGUAGAUAUUAGGAAGAACUCCAGUGGCGAAGGCGGCUUACUGGAGCGUAACUGACGUUGAGGCUCGAAAGCGUGGGGAGCAAACAGGAUUAGAUACCCGUGUAGUC